rnacentral:tRNA from 1 species
GGGGAUAUAGCUGAGCGGCACAGUGUCUGCCUGACAAGCACAAGGUCCUGAGUUGAGUUCCUGGUACCUCCC